AUGAACGCUAGCGGCAGGCUUAAUACAUGCAAGUUGAGGGGCAGCAUGAUAUACGCGAGUAUAUUGAUGGCGACCGGCGGACGGGUGAGUAAUAGGUAGGAGACCUACCUCAUACAGGGGGAUAGCAUAGAGAAAUCUGUGGUAAUACCCCAUGAGGUUAUAUGAAUAGAGGCAUAUAAUCAAAGCAUAAGCGAUUAUGCGGUAUGAGAGGGGCCUACUGACCAUUAGCUAGUUGGUGAGGUAAGGGCUCACCAAGGCGAAGAUGGUUAGGGGUUUUGAGAGAGAGACCCCCCCACAUUGGAACUGAGAGACGGUCCAGACUCCUACGGGAGGCAGCAGUAGGGAAUAUUGGGCAAUGGGCGAAAGCCUGACCCAGCCAUGCCGCGUGAAGGAAGACGGCCUUAUGGGUUGUAAACUUCUUUACUACGCGAAUAGAGGUUAGUACGAGAUACUAAUAGGAAGGUAGUGUAGUAAAAAAGCACCGGCUAACUCCGUG
rnacentral:rRNA from 1 species